GACGAACGCUGGCGGCGUGCUUAACACAUGCAAGUCGAACGGAAAGGCCCUGCGCUUGUGGGUUGCUCGAGUGCCGAACGGGGGAGUAACACGUGAGUAACAUGCCCUUGACUUUGGGAUAACUUCAGGGAACUGGGGCUAAUAUCCGAGAGGAUCUCCUGCUGCAUGGUGGGGGUUGGAAAGUUUCGGCGGUUGGGGCUGGUCUCGCGGCUUAUGAGCUUGAUGGUGGGGUAGUGGCUUACCAAGGCUUUGACGGGUAGCCGGCAUGAGAGGGUGACCGGCCACCAUGGGACUGAGAUACGGACCAGAAUCCUACGGGCGGCAACAGUGGGAAAUAUUGCGCAAUGGGCGGACGCCUGAUGCGGCAGCGCCGCGUGCGGGAUGACGGGCUUCGGGUUGUGAACCGCUUUCGCCUGUGACGAAGAGUGAGUGACGGUAAUGGGUCAAGAAGCACCGGCUAACUACGUG
rnacentral:rRNA from 1 species